AGCAGCCGCGGUAAUUCCAGCUCCAAUAGCGUAUAUUAAAGUUGUCGCAGUUAAAAAGCUCGUAGUUGAAUUUCGGGAUCAUCAGGUCGGUCGUGCCUCCGGUAUGUACUGGUCUCGGUGGUUCCUCCUUCUUGUAGAACCGUAAUGCCAUUAAUUUGGUGUUGCGGGAAAACAGGACUGUUACUUUGAAAAAUUAGGGUGUUUAAAGCAGGCGAUCGCUUGAAUACAUUAGCAUGGAAUAAUGAAAUAGGACGUUCGAUCCUAUUUUGUUGGUUUCUAGGAUUGACGUAAUGAUUAAUAGGGAUAGUUGGGGGCAUUAGUAUUCAAUUGUCAGAGGUGAAAUUCUUGGAUUUAUUGAAGACUAACUACUGCGAAAGCAUUUGCCAAGGAUGUUUUCAUUAAUCAAGAACGAAGUUAGGGGAUCGAAGACGAUCAGAUACCGUCGUAGUCUUAACCAUAAACUAUGCCGACUAGGGAUCGGAUGAUGUUAAUUUUUUAUGACUCA
rnacentral:rRNA from 1 species